GAUGAACGCUGGCGGCGUGCCUAAUACAUGCAAGUCGAGCGAAUGGAUUAAGAGCUUGCUCUUAUGAAGUUAGCGGCGGACGGGUGAGUAACACGUGGGUAACCUGCCCAUAAGACUGGGAUAACUCCGGGAAACCGGGGCUAAUACCGGAUAACAUUUUGAACCGCAUGGUUCGAAAUUGAAAGGCGGCUUCCGCUGUCACUUAUGGAUGGACCCGCGUCGCAUUAGAUAGUUGGUGAGGUAACGGCUCACCAAGGCAACGAUGCGUAGCCGACCAGAGAGGGUGAUCGGCCUCACUGGGACUGAGACACGGCCCAGACUCCUACGGGAGGCAGCAGUAGGGAAUCUUCCGCAAUGGACGAAAGUCUGACGGAGCAACGCCGCGUGAGUGAUGAAGGCUUUCGGGUCGUAAAACUCUGUUGUUAGGGAAGAACAAGUGCUAGUUGAAUAAGCUGGCACCUUGACGGUACCUAACCAGAAAGCCACGGCUAACUACGUGCCAGCCGCCGCAGUAA
rnacentral:rRNA from 1 species